UAUAUAAUAUGUGAAUAUUCAGAAAGAUUUUUUUCCUUUCUUUUUGUUGUUGUUGAUUGUGAUUGAUAACAUUAAGAGAAGAAAAUAUUAUCCUGAAAGUAUAAAUGAGGGUGUAAAUGCUGGCAUAUUUUCUCAGGCAAAGUUGCCAUUAAAAUCUGGCUGAAGCAGUAGAGCAGCAGUUGUUUAGCCAUUAGAAUGAUAUGAGUGUUUGAAAGAGCUCUGACUAGCUUAGUAUUAUGCCACCUUAAGCCACUGGCAUUGGUGUUUAAGAACUAUAGCUGACAGGCAGACAGUUGGGCUGGAUGAUCUUGCAGGUCUUUUCCAACCUUCAUGAUUCUAUUAUUCUAUUCUCCCAUCAGUUCUGGCUAUGAUCUUAUUAUCCUACAUGAUAACUGUCACCCUGACCUUGACAGAUCAUUGGAGAAAGGAAAAGUUUUUAUGAGAAAUGCAAGAGAAGAUGGCGUUGAGCUGGAAGAGUGCGAUGGAACUUAAGAUAUUUGGACAGACCCAGCCACAGGAGAUGAAGCUUAAUUUCCCAUGUCUCAAGACAAUUCAUCUUCACGCAGUGCAGUCCAGGCAAGCCACAAGACUGGGAACCCAUGUUUUAGAGCUUGGCUCGCUAUUCUUGGUGACCUUGUUCAGCAAUGGUGUGCUCCUCUAAUGGCUGACUUCUGUUCGUUCCUUUUCAGACCCAGAAUCCUGCUAGCAACCUUCUCAAAACACUGGAGUGCUGCAUGUUUGAAGCAGACAGUGCUUGGCCAUGCAGAGCAAUCCCAAACAGGGCAUCAAGAGAUACUCAGCCCUGCAAAGCUGCACGUGGAGCAGAACUUGCUGCUGCUGCUUUCCAUAUGUUCCUUCCCAUGGGGCCCUGGCUGGACCUCGACCUGAGGAAGAAGCAGAAUGGAAACUUAAUGGAGAAGCGAGUCCCACCUCUCAGAACAAAGAUUGGGCUGAGUGAGGAAUUGUGUUCCAGUUGCCUGGUAUGAAGCAGCAUAGGAGCAAUGACAACAUGUCAAGUCAAAAGUCUGAUUCCAUGAGCUACACUUUGGUCCUAUCAAGACAGGCAGGCAGAUGCAUGAGAGGUGGAAAGAGAGAAAAUGAUUGAGAUGAAAUCACCACCAACAACUAUUGCAGGCAGCAAAGCAGCAUUGGAUCCCAGCCACAAUACUUCUGCAACCAGGUGUGAAUGAGCCUGAUGGGAUGUUAUUAUGGAAUCUACACUGAAAAAGGUGCUCCUAUCACAACUCUUCAGACAUUCCUGUCAUGGCCACUUGAGAGCUUCAUUGAGGAAUGGCAGCAACUGAAAGAAACCAAGCAGAACCAGAUGGGAUGGGUAGAGAAAAAAGGUUGUAUUGAGGCAAGGCUUUGAUUGCAUGGUUAUGGUGGCGGGGGAUGCCUGGUGCUUGAUUACGCUUGUUUCUUCUGAGGCAUACAGCUGUGUUUGUGGGAAAUGACAGUGCUCAUCUGAACAGGGUUUGCAUUCAACACAUGCGACAGGGAGCAGUGGUUUCUGUAAGCUGUUAGCUGGCCACAUGACUGAGCCAGGCAGGGGGAUUAGUUACCCACUACCCCAAGUCAGAUCCAUCAGUGGGAUGCAGUUACAACCUGGGUCAUGGCUGAGCUUUCUGCCUCAAGUUGGCUGAAGCAGUCCCCUGGUUGGAGAUAACCUCCAUUCAGUGUUCCUCAGAGGUAAAUCAGGGAGCCAAGACCUAAAACAGGAUAUGAUGGGUAGAACUCAAUGCCAAAAUGUAGAGAUCUGAGGUACCUGAGUUGCUGGCACAAGGCUGGUAGAAUAGGAGAGACCUAGAGCAUCUAAAAGAGACAUCCAGGUUUAGGAAUUAAAUUUCUUCUACUAUUUCCGAUGUUCUGCCUUUGUGUUUAGUGGGGAAUCGUGUUUUAAAUUUGGGAUGCUAUGAGCUGUAGCCCUGUACUGGUGCCAUACUGCAACAGGUGGACUCCUUCUUGAACUGAGCACAGGCCCCAGCAACACUGGCUGCUACUGCUAUUCCACGCUGGGAGUGAAUCUUCCCAGAUGGUGCUGCUCUCAUUCUCAGCCUCUUCAUUUCUUUCUCUGAGCCUUUAGUCUAUUAGUUCCACUUGCUCCUCUGUCUGUCCCAUAUUCUCCUUUGUUUUAGAUUUCCUGGUUGUCUAACAGGCCUGUUUGCUGCUGCUGGAGAAAUACGGCUGGGGAGUCAAGAGCCAAGUAUUUUUGAUAACUGUGAAGUUAUGGCCAGGAAAUGCAGUGGAGAAACUGAAUGACCUAAUAGGGAAAAUGAAUGUAGUGCUUGAAAAGAUGGGCAUGUGGAUGUACCUGUUUGUGCAGGUAGAUCUCCAUGUAUUUGGAUAUAGAUAAGCCAGAAUCUACAUUAAGAGAAUGUCACAAACUUUAGAAAUUCAAGCACUGAAAUACAGUUUAAUUCACACAUUAAAAAUGGGUAAAAGGGGAUUUCAGAUAUUCUCUGUGUACUUUAAGUAGCCAGUAACAACGUGAUGGCAGUUCUAAGUAAAGGGCCUUAAUCAGAGUAUAUAAAAAGCCUGAUGAUGUUUGAAAAACAGGUCCAACUCCCAAGCAUUUUCUCUUUCCCACUAUCAAUGACACUCAUUGUGCAAUAACAACAUUUGCACAGAGAUAUGUCUUGUUUUGUGCACAGAGAAUGUAUCGAAGCAGUCAUAGGGCUGCACUAGCCUUGGCUAAAAACAUCCCCAAGGGCCCGUCUGCCAGCUGCUGACUGAUGUAGAACCACCACUGCUGAUAAUAGGGUACAUGUGCUGGCUUUGAGCUGAACUAGGCAAUCUGGGGCACAGUUAGAUGUGCUCAACAAGGAUCAAGUUCAAACCUGUUUAAGAAGUUAGUUCCUGUCAGCGGUGAUUUAAGCUAAGUAGUUUUUCUGUGGAUUAGGAAGGACGAGAAACGCUCACACAGUCAGCUACUUCAUCUUGGCUGUCACAGCGGUGAUUUCAACACAGCCAGGGGAGUCAGAAAGACAACAGCUGAGAUCUGUAACUUCCUAAAUCACACAGGCACAAGCUGCUGAAGGUGUUUUUUUCCAUUAGAUGUUUGUUUGCUUGUAUGUAGCAGAAUUAUGCUGCCUACUUUUCUUCUUGCAGGUAAAUGGAAUCAAGAAGUGCCUAGACUUUGAAGACGUAGAUCAUUGUCCAAGACUGGGAAAAGCUGCUAUUGACUGAAUGUUGCUGAUCCAUUCAGGAGCUCAGCUGCAGCAGGAGUAGUGUCAGUGUGGCACCCAAGAGGAAUAUAACCACGACUGCAGAUUUAACUUUGUUGAAGUCUUUAGGAGAGGGAUUAAAAUCUGUGUUCACAGGCUGAGAGCAGGUGUCUGCGAUGAGAUCCCAUGCUGUGACAUGCAUGCAGCACAUUCUUACAUGAAAAGCCCUGGCUGAUGAAAUGACCACAGGAAGAUAACACAGAACCCUCCUGGCAGGAUCAGAAGAAGCUUAAUUAAGCUCUGUGGUUAAUGUUAAAGUCCUUUUGUCAGAAGCAUAACAAGGAACUUCAGUCUGGCUUUCAAAAGUGCUGAACACCCAAAUCUCCUACUGAGGUCUCUGUGAAUCACAGAGGGGGCUGAUACUGCUGACCAUUGAUGCAGAUACAUAGGAAAGAGGUUAAAGGAUCAGAUGAACCAAUUUUUUCUGAGAACAACUGAACAAAAUCUGGGACUCUCUAUAUUUAUGGGAGAGUACAGUCUGCCUAGAAUCCUGCACAGCUCCAAGAACAGAGGUGCUGUCAUGCUUCCCCAGGGAAGAUCAGGCAGGACAUCUACAGUGGGACAGUGAUGUUCCUUACUGAAUAUAAGCAGAAUCCUGCUACCUAGUCAAAGCAAAGCUGAGCAUCUGAAGGCCUGGGCCCCCAGUUACUUUUAGUUUGAAAGUGAAUCCAUCAACUUGGAGAUGUGGCCUGGAGCAGUGGCAAUACAGAGGCUGCAUGCUAGGAAGAGCAGCCAGAAAGUAUCUUCACAUGCAGUGCAUCCUGCAGUCCCACACUUGAAACACUUCCAAGGCUGGACAUAGACCCAUCUGUCCAGGAAGUGGAGAAAUCCCUUGGCCAGACCGUGGUGGAUCCUCCAGACCCAGCCUCUGUCCCAUGGCUUCUCCCCAGCACAGCAUUCAUUUCUGCUGCAGAGAUGCAGGUAUCUGAGCACAAGCUACAUCCGUGAAAGGCUAGUUACGGUGCCAGGAGAACAUGUCCAAUCGCCUCUUAAUAAAAGGAUGAUAAAGAGAAGGCCAGACACUUCCAAGGAAACUCCUUAAUGAGGACUUGUCCUACUUUCAUACGACACAGACCCAUGGCCAAGGAAAACUACGCCAAGAUUUCCAAGCUUGCAGACGCCACCGCUGCAACAUCUGAUCGGAACAACUGCUACCAUCCGGAGUUCAGCACAUCUGAACUGGCAAACCAGCUGACUGAUCCCCACUCACGUAAGCCAGACAGCUUGCUUAUUACUAACAGCUUUAGCUGGAACAGUUACUUAAUUAAGUAAAAAUGCCUUGACCAGUCCCUUCACUGCAGGAAGCCAAGACCAAAAAGACUAAGAAAAGUCAUUGUGAAUCCAAAUGAAAACCUGCCAUGUCUUUUCCUUUGCUUUUCAGUUUCCAAUGCAGAUUCACUUCCUGAUGAGUCAUGAAAUGUGCACAGCACAUCUGUAUGAAAUAAGUUGUUUCUUCUGACCAUCCCCUUCUACAUCUCCUCCCUCACCCCUACACCUCAUUCUUGUUUCUAGACCUUACUCACCAAACCUUUCAGAGAAAGAAAGAAGUGAAGAACUUAGAACUUUUCAUGCCCAUUGGUGCUGUUAUGACAUUAUGAACAUUGGUGUGGAUUCGACCUACAGCUUCAGCCCAGGACUGUGAGCCUUAUCUCUGACUGGUGACAUGAGCAAUCUCCUUGCCACAACAGGGGGAAAAACACCAAACAAGUGGAGGUUAAACAUUUGAAGAGUACCAAGAAAUGCCUCAAGUUACAUCCCCAGCCUGGACUUUUGUCCCACGGGAAUGCUCCCAAGCACCCUCCUCCUGGUACAUAAAAAAAGGAUGGUUACAUAGAGAAAGCUGGGUGAGCUGUCAUAAGAGGUGCUACCAGAGCUUUGUUUGUUGUGUGAAGCAUGAGGGCUUACUUCUGGCCUAGGAAGUAGAGUUUAGCUGCAAGUUUAUCCUGCUACAGUGCUAAAAUAUUUCCCUCCUGGACACUUUCAUCUCUUUAUUUUUUAUUAAGUGCCAUGCCUCUGCCACCUUGCUGCUGCCUGCUGCUCUUUUCUCUGACAGUUCUUUUAUUCCAGCCUCUCUUUUCACUUUUGUCUUUGCUCAUUUGUUUUUCUCUUGGACAUUUUGUACAGCGUGCUGUCAUGUACCAUCAUGUUUUAUCCUCUCUCAGCUCUACAUAGACUCCAGACAGUAUUUGUAAGCUUCCCUGGCAAUUGUCCUGGAGCAGUGUUUCCAUACUAGCACUUCCUUAGUUCUUUGUCCCUACCCAACUAUGGGAAUUUGUUUGCAUUUGCACUAAGCAUAGACAUUCUAUUGUAAAGAUGUUAUCCCACAACUAUGUGAAGUUCCUAACACUGUUUGCAUCAUCUGAAAGACUGCAUUCUUCAAAGACAAAAUGAGAGCCUGCUGGCUGAUUACACUGACUGAUAACACAGCAAACUCAAGAACUCUAAAAAAGAAAAUAAUAAUCUAUGUGGGUUAGUUCAUGACCCUGACAAGACUUUAGUCUAUGUCAUAGUCAUAGAAUGGCCUGGGUUGGAAGGAACCUCAAAGAUAAUCUUGUAAUCCCUGUCUUCAGUCUACUACUGAUCUAAGCAUAAAGGAAUUGUCAGACUUGUGUUACCUAAUGGCAAUCUACCUUUUCAGAGAUAGAUAUAAGGAAGCACAUACUACCUUGGCAGCAUACUAUUUAGCAGGAGAAAACUGACACUCUCAUGUGGAAUAUGUGUGAUCUCUCUUAACACAGGCAAUACUGCAGCUUCUCCCAGUUGAUUCACACUUUCAACCUUUUUGAAUUUACUCAGGAAUCAAUUUGGUGGAGAAAUUCUGAUGCUCCUGAAAAUCCUACUCAUUGCAUAUAAAGGUUUAACUCAUUGUCUAUGGCAGGGCUGAAUAUCAAGAUGCUUAUGGACACUGCCAAGUCUCUACUUCUUAUGUCACCUCAGAUUCUUUAGUUCAUCCAAGGCUCAGAGGAAGCAUCUCAUUCACUUUUUGCAAUAUCAUAUUGCCCACACCCAAAGUCUGACUCUUGGCUGUUUUGUUUUUUUUCUUCUCAUAAAGCAGCAGCCAGAACCUUCCCUGCAGCCUCUAAUGUCUCUAUCAGACAGGGCUAUUCUGCAGACCAUACCGCAGACAUGGAUAUCUGUUCUGUGCAGGGGAUAGCUCUGCUUUAGAGGGCACACCAGCUGCAGUUUCUACUGCAAUACCUUACUUGCUUUUGUUCAUAACUUUAUGACUGUUUAACUGUUUGAACUGAAUUAUUGAACAGACUGUUUUUCAUUUCCUCUUACCACCCAAACCGAAGCAUAUGGGAAAAUCUCAACUACAAUAUUUCACUCUUUUUCUAGAAAUUCAGGCCAAAAUCAAGGAAAAUUGUUUGUUUAGGAAAAAGAAAAAACAUCCUAGAACCUUCAUUAAGAUGAUUUAACAUUCUGCUACCUGGAAAUAGACAUCUGCUUUCAAAAUGCUACUAUGUGUCUUCUUUGUCAUUUUUGUGGACAUUUUCCCAUAUCUGACAAAUUACAUAUAUUUUAAAUAAAAAUCUCUGUAUGUUUGUUCAUGUCUGGAGAAGACUUGUUGAAGUUGAGGAACUAAAGUAUCUGAGGAAUCCAAUUUUCAGACUCUUCCCGUGAGGACAUUCCAUCUUCUCAUGCUUGAGGACCAAAUUGUAUGAUCUUGCUAUCAAGUGACUUGACAUGUUUUAGCCAGCAGUAAAACACAGUCCUUCCUUGCUGAAGCAUUACCAUCACUGGAACAUAAUGCCAGGAAAUUUUCUCUUUUAAUUCCCAGUUCUCCAUCUGCUCAUGCCAAAAAGAAAGAGUGAAUGGGAUGAGUUGGAAUAUCAAAUGAAAUAAUUCAAAUGAAAGCAAUAUUUGCUAACAUAGCAUCAAGUACUGUGACUUUAUGAUGCUGAUGGUGAUAGGGAUUAAGCUCCCUUCCAACCCAAACCAUUCUAGGAUUCUGUGAGAUGUGGCCCCUUUGUGCUCUGCACUCCUGAUUCAAUAUUUAAUAAUAAAAAUCAAUGUGAAUCCUCUGUGCUCCUGAAGAGCUAACUAUUGCUAAAAACAGUGUGCCAAAUAUUCUUCUUCCAUGCAGCCCCACUGAUGUGCCAGGGAUGCAAAGACAGGGUUCGACAAUAAGAGACUGCCACAGUGUAAAGCAUGAGUGGGAUCCAGAGCAUUAAAAAGCAAGGUUAUGAUUUCUCAACAUGAAAAGUCUGAAGGAGGAUUCCUGUUCAGAGUGAUUUCAUUUUAGAUGGGAAACAAAUGGAACAGAAGACUGCACAUCUCUGUAAAGUGCUGUAGUAGUUUGGCAUGAUAGAGUGGCAGCUGGGGACUUGGAGAUACACUCUUUGGAAAGGUAAAGGUAUAGACAAAAUGAAGUCAUAUUAGGCACAGAACCAUCUAUCUUUCAGCAACGGAGCUAUCUCUCCCUAAUGUAUGUCACAUUUACUCAAGAGUGGGAGAAAACACUCUUCAGAUUCUGUAGUAUUUAUGGGACACACUGAUAUAAAUUGUACCUCAGAACUUGCCCCAUAAAACAAGGGGUGACACUGAUAUAAAGUUGAUUUUCUUGA